rnacentral:rRNA from 1 species
UACAGAGGUGGCAAGCGUUGUUCGGAAUUACUGGGCGUAAAGGGCGCGUAGGCGGUUCGUUAAGUCCUGUGUGAAAUCCCCCGGCUCAACUGGGGAACUGCACAGGAAACUAGCGGGCUUGAGUUCGGGAGAGGGAAGCGGAAUUCCGGGUGUAGCGGUGAAAUGCGUAGAUAUCCGGAGGAACACCGGUGGCGAAGGCGGCUUCCUGGACCGACACUGACGCUGAGGCGCGAAAGCUAGGGGAGCAAACGGGAUUAGAUACC